rnacentral:lncRNA from 1 species
UCCAUGACACAAAGCAGCCAUACGUUUUUCCUCAAUCAAAUUCAACUGGUCGUACCUGCUCUGGCACCAUUCAGCUUCAGACAAUUCAGCUUCCAUCAAGACUCUUAAAGAAGGAAUCUCAACCUCUACAGGUAGUACAGCCUCCAUACCAUAUACCAAAGAGAAAGGGGUUGCCCCUGUCGAGGUUCGCACUGAGGUACGGUAUCCAUACAAAGCGUAGGGUAACAUUUCAUGCCAGUCCUUAUAAGUAACUACCAUCUUCUGUAUGAUCU